AGCAUACCAGGAGAGAGAAGCUGCAGGAAUGCUACAAAGAGACGCAUGGGAGUCAGCGGCCCUCUAAGCAUGCCACCCAGACUUCUCUUCCCGUGGUUUAUAAUAACUUGCUUUCUACCUGCCAAACACUGGAGAUUUAUAAUCAGCCCAAUUCCACCAACAAGGAGACUCUCGGACUUGCAUGUUUUCACCGGGCAGAGCCUCUGUUUCGCUAGUACCCAGAGAAGGACCCGGCACGUCAGGGCACUCGGCUGCUCGUGAGGACUGGAACGUACGCAGUACUAGUCCGCUAGACCUCAUACAACCUUCUAGAGAUGCCAAAGCCACAUGCGACGUACAUACAGAUACUGCAUGGGGAAAAAACGUUGUUCCAGCAACCUUCAAAGUCAGCAAAAUGAAUCAGUGAAACAUGAAAACUCCCAGCUGCAAUGGGCCCUCAGGUUUAUGUCUAGCCACUAAUGCACAGGAUGAGAAUGCAGCACUCAACAAGAACUGGGACAAUCGAAGAGCAAGUUUUUAUGGGGACCCUGUUGCUGCUUUAGAUUCUGAUGUAAUUGAAGAGGAAAAGAGACCUUUCCAUGAAUCCCAGAAAAAUCGCUAAUCUUCUAUCUGCAUGAAAAAAACCAGGGAAGUGAACACAGUAUCUUACAGAGUGAAGAAGGCCACAAGAACAAGAGAGGGUGAUUGAUCGAUUAAUUUAUUCUCUUUUAAAACUUGGAAAUUAGGAAACUAAAUCACAUUCCUCCUUCCCCAUCUCUGGGUAGUGCCAUCAUUUUAAGAAGCAAUGCUCGGAUCACAGAAUAUACCUUUCUCAUGGGGAUGCCCUUGUCCAGCAGUACAAAGGGCUUACAAAUUAUGAAAUCAAAUGGAGCCUCCACUUAGCAGUGUCUUAAGGACCCAUCAUUUUCAUCUGAACAAAAAUGGAAAAGCUAAUGCAUGAAGAGAGAAAGCAUAAUGAAGGGCCCUGAGGCUCGUGUGGAGGACUACCACCACGAGUAGCGGGACAUUCAAGGUCCUUCCCCACUGUACACGUGCACGCCCAGCCCAGGGUCGCACCGAU